rnacentral:rRNA from 1 species
CAGUCGCCGCGGUAACACGUAGGUCCCGAGCGUUGUCCGGAUUUAUUGGGCGUAAAGGGAGCGCAGGCGGUUUAGUAAGUCUGAAGUUAAAGGCAUUGGCUCAACCAAUGUAUGCUUUGGAAACUGUUAGACUUGAGUGCAGAAGGGGAGAGUGGAAUUCCAUGUGUAGCGGUGAAAUGCGUAGAUAUAUGGAGGAACACCGGUGGCGAAAGCGGCUCUCUGGUCUGUCACUGACGCCGAGGCUCGAAAGCGUGGGUAGCGAACAGGAUUAGAUACCCCCGUAGUCCCUGUCUCUUAUACA